rnacentral:rRNA from 1 species
ACUUAAAUUGAAGAGUUUGAUCAUGGCUCAGAUUGAACGCUGGCGGCAGGCCUAACACAUGCAAGUCGAGCGGUAGCACAGAGAGCUUGCUCUCGGGUGACGAGCGGCGGACGGGUGAGUAAUGUCUGGGAAACUGCCUGAUGGAGGGGGAUAACUACUGGAAACGGUAGCUAAUACCGCAUAACGUCGCAAGACCAAAGUGGGGGACCUUCGGGCCUCAUGCCAUCAGAUGUGCCCAGAUGGGAUUAGCUAGUAGGUGGGGUAACGGCUCACCUAGGCGACGAUCCCUAGCUGGUCUGAGAGGAUGACCAGCCAC